rnacentral:rRNA from 1 species
AUUGAACGCUGGCGGCAGGCUUAACACAUGCAAGUCGAGCGGAGCGAGGGUGCUUGCACCUUAGCUUAGCGGCGGACGGGUGAGUAAUGCUUAGGAAUCUGCCUAUUAGUGGGGGACAACAUUCCGAAAGGAAUGCUAAUACCGCAUACGCCCUACGGGGGAAAGCAGGGGAUCUUCGGACCUUGCGCUAAUAGAUGAGCCUAAGUCGGAUUAGCUAGUUGGUGGGGUAAAGGCCUACCAAGGCGACGAUCUUUAGCGGGUCUGAGGGGAUGAUCGGACACACUGGGACUGAGACACGGCCCAGACUCAUACGGGAGGCAGCAGUGGGGAAUAUUGGACAAUGGGCGCAAGCCUGAUCCAGCCAUGCCGCGUGUGUGAAGAAGGCCUUAUGGUUGUAAAGCACUUUAAGCGAGGAGGAGGCUACUUUAGUUAAUACCUAGAGAUAGUGGACGCUACUCGCAGAAUAAGCACCGGCUAACUCUGUGCCAGCCGCCGCGGUAAUAC